rnacentral:sRNA from 1 species
UAACCAUAUUCAAGCUCAACUAAUUGAUAGUAGCGUAUUUCAAAAGAUAGUUUGGAAAAGUCCGCGUAUAUCACUAGUGACAAAAAAUUUGAAAUAGCGCGCGCAUUAUGUAGAUUGUCAUUUGAUUCAGUUAAAAUAGUAUUUUCAAUCUU